rnacentral:lncRNA from 1 species
CCCUAAAAAGACAAAAAGAUUUAAAAAAAAAAAAAAAGGAAAGAAAUGUUUUAUAACAUUCUUCUGUGGAAACGUAAAGGAAAAAACUCACCCCUGCUUUGGGAGAGUUAGGAAAGUUGCCCUAAAGAGGACCACACCCAUGGCAUAUGGAGGUUCCCAGGCUAGGGGUCAAAUCAGAGCUGCAGCUGCAGGUAGGUCUAUGCCACAGCAAUGCCAGAUCCAAGCCACAUCUGCGACCUACACCACAGCUCACAGCAACAUUGGAUCCUUAACCCAUUGAGCAGAGCCAGGGAUUGAUUGAACCCUCAUCCUCACAGAUACUAGUUGGCUUCAUAUCCUGCUGGGCCACAACAGGAACUCCUCUUCCAAUUCUUUUUCUAUAAUGUAUGCAUAAUACUUUGUUUGUUUUCUUCUUUUUCUGAGAUUUUUGUCCCCAGUCACCAAAAGAAAUCCCAGAUAUUUUAUAACACAUUACAGUUACAGAAAUCUCAAAAUAUUAAGUUCAUCACUCUUUGAAAUUGUUGUAGUUAUUAGACUUCCUGCUAGCUCUCAUUACUAAAUGCAUUAAUAAAGAAGCACGUAUAUUAAUAUAUGACAAAUUUGCUUUUUAAGAUUUUGGUAACUAUCUCAGUGGGAUUCAUUUCCUUUCCUUUGUAAUUCUAAGCGGUUAACUUUUUUCAUUUAAAACAUUAUUCUGAGAAGGUGGAGGGCCUGUGAUGAAUGUCACAAAAAAAAGUUAAGAAUUCCUCUUACAGGUAGACUUUUAUUCCUUUAGUCUGGCCCAGUGUUACAUGAAAAUUACUUUAAAGGAUUGUGUUUUAUUUUUAUUUUCUUCCUUCCCUCCUUCUCUCCUUCCCUCCCUUCCUCCCUCCCUCCCUCCCUCUCUCUCUCUCUCUCUCUCUCUCUCUCUCUCUCUCUCUCUCUCUUUCUUUCUUUCUUUCUUUCUUUCUGUUGCUUUUUGGGGCUGCACCCACGGCAUUUGGAAGUUCCUAGGCUAGGGGUCAAAUCUGAGCUACUCUGCCAGCCUACUCUACAGUCACAGCAACGCAUCCUAAAGGAUCCUAGUCGGGUUCAUUAACUGUUGAGCCACGUCGGGAACUCCCCAAAGGAUUGUAUAAACAAAACCAUACAUACUAGGAUUUUCAAGGAUAAUUUGAACUGCGUGCAGUUUUGGCCUUGAAAGUCCACCUUUGUACCCAACCACCUUAGUUAAGAUGUGACUCCAAUUCUAGAGUUUUCAAGUAGAUCCACAGCCUCCUAGGAAUUUGAAGACAUAAAAAUAGGUCUGUAGGGAAGGUUAUAGGAACUUUGAAGAAAUCCAUUCACCUCUUUUAUACUUUACUUUUCACUGCUGUAGAAUGAAGAUUUUGCUUGCCUUUCUGUAUCUUCUGGGUACAAGAUCAAUGAAUGAAAUAAUAGGAAUUUACACAGACUAAUUUGCUAUGAAGCUUAUGUUUUGAAGCCCUUUCUUUAUGCCAGCCCCUUCUAAGGCUCUAUACCUAUUCUUGUAUGGACAUUUUGUAGUUUUUUCUUAAAGAGAUCACCAAAUUUGUUAAUGUUUCAGUCUGCAUAAGAACUAAAUCCACCUCUAUACAUUCAAGUGUUAUGAAAUCCCUUGGAGAAAUAAUGACAGAGAAGCCCAAUCUCAUAUUAAAUUAAAAUUUUCUUAUUAUCCUCCCAAAUAUAGCAAAAUAGGGAACUUUUUGGUGUUUUGAAGUCUGACUUAGGCAGCAUGAUUCAGAAGAAAGUCUUCUUGAAUAGGAAAUUAGAAUACUUGGAUUUUAAUUUGGGAUAACAGUAUUGCAUACAUAUGAUUUGACACUAAACUUUUCUGAAAUUGAGUUUUUUUUUUAAAGACUUGAAAUAUCUGAUCUUUAAAAUUCUUUUCAAUAUGAAAUAUUCUUAUUCCCACACCCUUUCCUAAUGUUUAAGUGCUGUGUGUUUUUCAAACUAGUUGUCUCCAGGUUUAUUGUUGAAGUGUGACUACAAUAUUGAAAUGCAACUAAACUUGUUAAUCAUCUUUCCUGAAAGUUUCUGGAAAAAGGGAAAAUAUGGGAAAUGUUUAUAUUUCUACUCUAAAGUGUUCUUUUGUAUAUUACAUUAGAAUAUCUGAAAAAUAAUUUACUUGAUUAUCAUUAUUCCUUAAAAUAAAGCAUGAAGAAAAUUAUUUCAGUUUCACAUCUCUGAUGAAAUCUUCCCCUUGAGCUAGCUGGAUUGUUCAGUUGCGCCAAGAGCCUAAGACCUGAAAUUCUGCAUUCUUGGUACGGUUCUGAGUUCUUACUAUAAAUGUAGUACCUGAGGGAGUAGGAGGUCAAGGAGAGGGAAAAUGUAACUUCAUGCAUAUCACUUCAUCUGCAGUUAAUUCUUUUUUUUUUUUUAAUUAUUUAUUUAUUUUGCUUUUUAGGUCCACACCUGCAUAUGGAGGUUCCCAAGCUAGGGGUUGAAUCGAAGCUACAGCUGCCGGCCUACGCCACAGCCUCAGCAACACAGGAUCCAAGCUGCGUCUGUGACCUAUACCACAGCUCAUGGCAACACCACACCCUUAACCCACUGAGCGAGGCCAGGGAUUGAACUUGCAACCUCAUAGUUCCUAGUCAGAUUCAUUUCCACUGCACCAUGACGUGAACGCCUGCAGUUAAUUCUUAAAUACUAUCUUCUUGGAAGGAAAAAUGUCCUUGUUCAGAUUUUGGGGGAAGAAUGCAUUUAAAGAUGAUUUUUAGUGUUAAGAUUGGGAUGGAAAAGGGAAGGAGAUUUCAGCAGAUAUUUAUAGGCUCUUUAUAUAAAGAUGCCAUGGGGCCCAGCAGUUCCACUCCUAGGAAUGUAAUUAAGAGAAACAAAAAUGUAUGUGUACGCAAGUGAUUAUAACAGUAUUAUUUAUAAUGGCCAAAAAGCAGGAGUUCUCGUCAUGGUACAGCAGAAAUGAAUCCAACUAGGAACCAUGAGGUUGCAGGUUCGAUCCCUGGGCUCACUCAGUAGGUUAAGGAUCCGGUGUUGCUGUGAGCUGUGGUGUAGGUCGCAGACGUGGCUGGGGUCUGAUGUUGCUGUGGCUGUGAUGUAGGCCGGCAGCUACAGCUCCAAUUCAACCCCUAGCCUGUGAACCUCCAUAUGCUGCUGGUGUGGCCCUAAAAAACAAAAAAACAAAAAAAUAAUAAUAAAUAAAAAUAUAAUAGCCAAAAAGCAGAAAGAGCCCAAUAUCCAUCAGCUUAUAAAUGGAUAAACAAAGUAUGGUAUAUCAAUACAAUGGAAUACUGUUCAUCAAUCAAAAAAAAAAAUGCUCAUUUAUGCUACAACAUGGAUGAACCUCGAAAAAUUAGCUAGGAAAAGAAGCCAGACACACACACACACACAGAUAGUACAAUUCCAUUCAAAUGAAAUGUUCAGAACAGGAAAAUCUAUAGAGACAGAAAAAUUAAUGGUUGCUUAGGAAUGGAGGGAUUGAGAUAAGUAUGGGGGUGAUAGCUAAAGGGAACAGGACUUCUUUUUGUGGUUAUGAAAAUGUUCUAAAAUUGUGAUGAUUUGCACAUAAUUUGUGAACAUGCUAAAAAACCAUUGUAUACUUCAUUUUUAAUUUUUUAAUAUUUUUUGUCUUUGUAGGGCUGUACCCAUGGCAUAUGGAAGUUCCCAGGCUAGGGGUUGAAUCGGAGGUAUAGGUGCCAGGCUAUGCCACAGCCACAGCAACGCCAGAUCCGAGCUUUGUCUGAGACCUCCACCACAGCUCACGGGAACAUUGGAUCCUUAACCCACUGAGCAAGGCCAGGGAUUGAACCUGUAUCCUCAUGGAUACUAGUCAGGUUUGUUACCGCCGAGCCACAGCAGGAACUUACCCAUUGUAUGCUUUAAACUAGUGAAUUGUAUGGUAUGUGAAUCAUAUCUUGAAAAAAAUUAUUUUUAAGGAUGCCGUGGGACUCAGUUAAUCAAAACACAGAUUUAGACAUGUAUCCUCUUCUGAACAGGCACUUUUCAUCCAGUUAGAGUACUAGUAUAUAAAUGUUUAAAAGUGUAGCAAAGGGGAGUUCCCGUUGUGGCUCAGUGGUUAGUGAACGCUACUAGCAUCCACGAGGAUGCAGGUUCCAUCCCUGGCCUUGCUCAGUGGGUUAAGGAUCUGGCGUUUGCUGUGAGCUGUGGUGUAGGCCACAGAUGUGGUUCGGAUCCCAUGUUGCUGUGGCUGUGGUGUAGGCUGGCAGCUUCAGCUCCAAUUGGACCCCUAGCCUGGGAAUCUCCAUAU